GAUCAUGGAAGGGCACCAAAGCAAAGUUGUAAAGAGGUCUCUUAGGUCUUUUCAAAGACGUCUCCAAAAUUUUGGAAGCCCCUUCAAUAACCUGAACUAAAUCAUCAUACAUGGAGCCAGUCACAUCAAACACAAAAGCCAACGUGGACGCCCCCUCCGGAAUCUCCUCAGCCCUGCUCUCCGACUGCGGGGUCCCAACUCCAGCUAGGGAAGAAUGAAAAAGAGCCACCAGGAAAACUGUGUGGACCAGUUCCUGGGCAAUCAUUUUUUUUUCUUUUCUUUUCUUGUUUUGCUCGCUGCUUUUCUCUUUGCCCUGAGCUCCUUAGCACUGUGCUUACUCCUCAGCAGCAAGCAGAGGACUUCCUCCCCGGUGCCUCAUCAGCUUUUUGCAGUCUCUGAACUAACUCAAAGUUUGGAGCGGAGAAGGAGAUGAGGACCAGCCCAGAGCCCGGGUCCUUCCAGGAGCUGGGCUGGGCUGGGCAAGGAUGCAGCGCCUUUUGUCCGGCUGAGUAGGUCGUGGGCUCUAGGCGGCCGC
rnacentral:lncRNA from 1 species